AUGGCUGAAGCUUUGGCGUUAAAAUUCGGCCUAUCGCUUGCGCAAAGGACGGGUUGUAAUCGCAUAAUUAUUAACUCGGAUAAUAUGGAGGUGAUCGAGACCAUGAACAAAGGAGGACGAUCGUGGGGGGCAGCAGCUGCAAUUUUUUAUGAUUGUUUUCAUUUAGCUUGCGAUUUUCCUAUUUCUAGAUUUGAGCAUUGUAAUAGAGAAGCAAAUAAAGUUGCUCAUGAACUUGCCAAGUUGGACAGAUUUUCCUUCAUUUCUGAUUGGCUCGAGAAACCACAUAAUGCAAUUGUACCAAUCCUCAUAAACGAUGUAAUGAUUAUUUCUAAUGAAUAA
rnacentral:rRNA from 1 species